rnacentral:lncRNA from 1 species
CGACGUUGUAGUGUGGAGGAUAUUGCUGAGUGCUUGUAAGGUUCAUGGAAAUGUGGCCCUAGCUGAAGUUGUCACAAACAAGCUUCUUGAAUUGGAUCCUUCUAACAGUGGGAAUUAUGUUCUCUCAUCGAAUACUUAUGCAGCUUCAGAUAGAUGGGAAGAUGUUAUAAGAAUGAGAGAACUGAUGGAUGAGAGCAAUGUGCAGAAGCCAUUUGGCCGUAGUUCCAUUGAAAUAAAUGGCAAAUUGUCAAAUAACUCUCAGGAGCCAGGACUCACUUGUAAGAAGAAUCGAUGAAUAUAUCUCAAAUUGAUCUUAGCAGACCAAUUCUUUUACUGCAUGGGCUUACAAAAUUGAACGGAUAUGAACAGUAAGAAUUGCUUAUCUGACCCAGCUGGUCCUGGAACAGAGAGGACAAGUUGUGAUGCAUUGGAAGCUAUCAUCAUCUCAGAUGAAAAAUGGGCUGCUUCUAGAAUUGGGGUAAACUUUAAAACCUUCUGAUGAGAUAUAAGCUUUGCUGAUGUACAGAUCACCAUUAUAUACCGCUGUAACCUAGUAAAAUACACUGAAAAGAUUCACGACAAGAGGAGAUUCGAAUUUGGGAUAUUUUUAAUUCUGAAAAAAGGAAAAAGCAUCACGAAAGAAGAGUUAGUCGAUUGUACACAAAAUAAUAUUUGUUCAUAAUUCUCUCAAUUUGAGAGGCAUUAAAAAAUAAUACAAUUAUCUUAAAUUGUCAUUAUAUGUCUCUGUUUAGCAAUUGAAAAGUAUGUAAAGCUUACGGUAAGAAUAGCAUAUUCCACUACCUGAAUGAAUCUCAUCAUUGUCAUUUGAGCAAAAACAAAAAGAAUCUCAUCAUUGUAUGGGCUAAUAUUUUGGCUUAAAUUUUCCCAACAACGCCUUUCAUGAACACAAAUAGAUGUUGGCAAAAAUCAUUAAGAAAACACUUUUUUCACGAGAAUAAUGUUUCUUUAACAAAAGGGACAGUUGUUGCCUACGCGAAUCUGAGUGUACCUGACGUGGAAAUUAGUCAGCGAUUUGUGGCGUGCCAGAAUAAAGGUUGGCAACAGAGAGCCCAUCUAAUUUCUAAAGCUGACAACAUGGAGCCCAUCUCGUCUAAUUCAUAUUUGAUUUUGAGUUCAAAUCCGGAUGUGUAUAUAUAUAUAUAUAUAUAUAUAUAUGAUAAGUUUUUACUAAAUUAACCCUAUACCAUAACUACAUUAUAUCAAAUGUCUGAUUUAUCACUCAAUUACUUAACUAUAUCUAAAUCGGAUCAAAUGUCUGAUUUAUCUAUGAGUAACAUAACUAUAUAUAUAUAUAUAAAAGAUCAAAUCAAUUAUCUCAUUUAUCACUUACCUAAAAAUGUAUCAGAUCAAAGUCUGAUUUUAUCACUCACCUAAAAUUAGUACCUAAUUAUGUCUCCCGAUAUGAUCUCAAAUAGCAAAACAGGUAAAUAAUCUACUUGGAUCCACAAACAUAAGUGUCAGGUAAACUAUCCUUUUCUGUUUUUCUUUUUUCUGUUUUUUUUGUCAAAGUUAACUAGCACAAGAUAUUGUAGGAAUUUGAACCCAUGACCACUUUAAAGUAUAUCAAAAGCUUGGGUCAAUCCAACUAACACCUUAGGUAAAUUAUCUUCAAAACUAUUAUAUGGUCUAGUCAAAAGUAAAUUAACUUAACUAAUGUAGUCCAUUUAUGCAAACUAGACAAGGCAUAUAAGUUACUACAAAAUAAAAUAUGCUUGUGAGGUUCAUGUUGCUCUGGUGAGAAACACUUAUGCCAAACAGGUGUUUUGUAAUUCCCGAUCACGGGAUGCCAAGAGAAAAAAUUAUCACACAUGACAUACCGUGAGUAGCUGAGAAUAGCAUACACAAGUUUUUCUGAUAGCUGAGAUUGUAACAAGCAAUAGCUUCUGGAGUUGGAUCCAUCAAAUACUUAGGCAGGUCAGAUGAAAUGAUGGGAUGCAAUGAUGUUUAUAAAAAUGAGAGCAGAGCAACGUGCAGAAACCAUUUGGUCGUACUUCCAUUGAAAUAUAAUAAGUGGCAGAUUAUCAAAUAACUCUCAAUUGCAAGAAGAAAUGAUGAAUCUAUCUAAAAUUGACCUCACCAGACCAGACCAGACCGGAACAGAACAGAAGAGAACAUACCAGGCCAGAACAGACCAGCACAAAUGUUUCAGUGCAUGUGCACAGUGCAUGGCCAUAUAAUAAAAUCGAAUGUGGAGAGAUAUAUGAGCGGUAGCAGGAAGUGCUUAUCUGAACCUCAACAUCAUCAGCUGGUCUUUCAACAGAAGAGAGGUCUUUCAACUGAGGUGCAUCUAAAAUGUUGCCAUCAAAGCUUCUGCAUUUUCAGAAUCCCCCGAGUGGACAAGUUGUGAUGAUUUCAGCUCAGAUGAAAAGGGGCAGGUUCUACAGUUUUGGGAAGCUGCUGAUGGAGAUGCAAGUCAGCUUGGUGACUAUUCUAUGGCUUAUAUAAGCGAGUAAAAUAGACCGAGCGAAUAAAUAAAUAAAAAUCAACCCAAAAAAGUCAUCGAAAAAAAAAACUAACAAUAACGGCAUAACCCAUAUCUUAUCUUAAAGAUAGUCAGCAUAGUUGAUUUUUGUGUUUUCAGUUGAAUUUUCAGUUUGAUUUUUGUGCUUAAUUUGACAAAUUUGCUCAAUAUAAACACAAUAAAGAAAUGUGAAUUAGACCAAUUAAUCGGGAUAGCUGAUGAGGAUAGCGACUCCAACCCAAAUUGAACUCCCCGAUCCUGUUAGAGUAAAUUUUAGUAUAAUGAUG